rnacentral:rRNA from 1 species
AGCGAACGCUGGCGGCAGGCUUAACACAUGCAAGUCGAGCGCCUGUAGCAAUACAGGAGCGGCAGACGGGAGAGUAACACGUGGGAACGUACCCUUUGGUUCGGAACAACCCAGGGAAACUUGGACUAAUACCGGAUAAGCCCUAACGGGGAAAGAUUUAUCGCCAAAGGAUCGGCCCGCGUCUGAUUAGCUAGUUGGUGAGGUAACGGCUCACCAAGGCGACGAUCAGUAGCUGGUCGAGAGGAUGAUCAGCCUCACUGGGACUGAGACACGGCCCAGACUCCUACGGGAGGCAGCAGUGGGGAAUAUUGGACAAUGGGCGCAAGCCUGAUCCAGCCAUGCCGCGUGGGUGAUGAAGGCCUUAGGGUUGUAAAGCCCUUUCGGCGGGGAAGAUAAUGACGGUACCCGCAGAAGAAGCCCCGGCUAACUUCGUGCCAGCAGCCGCGGU